rnacentral:rRNA from 1 species
UACAGAGGUCUCAAGCGUUGUUCGGAUUCAUUGGGCGUAAAGGGCGCGUAGGCGGCGGGGUAAGUCGGGUGUGAAAUCUCAGAGCUCAACUCUGAAACUGCACUCGAUACUGCUCUGCUUGAGGACUGGAGAGGAGACUGGAAUUCACGGUGUAGCAGUGAAAUGCGUAGAUAUCGUGAGGAAGACCAGUGGCGAAGGCGGGUCUCUGGACAGUUCCCGACGCUGAGGCGCGAAGGCCAGGGGAGCAAACGGG